UACGUAGGGUGCAAGCGUUAAUCGGAAUUACUGGGCGUAAAGCGUGCGCAGGCGGUUUUGUAAGUUUGUCGUGAAAGCCCCGGGCUCAACCUGGGAAUUGCGAUGAAGACUGCAAGGCUUGAAUCUGGCAGAGGGGGGUAGAAUUCCACGUGUAGCAGUGAAAUGCGUAGAGAUGUGGAGGAACACCGAUGGCGAAGGCAGCCCCCUGGGUCAAGAUUGGCGCUCAUGCACGAAAGCGUGGGGAGCAAACAGG
rnacentral:rRNA from 1 species